GUGAGGGAAAGGCGAAAAGAACCCCGGCGAGGGGAGUGAAAAAGAACCUGAAACCGUGUACGUACAAGCAGUGGGAGCCUCUUUAUGGGGUGACUGCGUACCUUUUGUAUAAUGGGUCAGCGACUUAUAUUCUGUAGCAAGGUUAACCGUAUAGGGGAGCCGAAGGGAAACCGAGUCUUAACUGGGCGUUAAGUUGCAGGGUAUAGACCCGAAACCCGGUGAUCUAGCCA
rnacentral:rRNA from 1 species